UACGUAGGGUGCGAGCGUUAAUCGGAAUUACUGGGCGUAAAGCGUGCGCAGGCGGUUCGUUGUGUCCGGUGUGAAAGCCCCGAGCUUAACUUGGGAAUGGCAUUGGAAACUGGCGAGCUGGAGUGUGGCAGAGGGGGGUGGAAUUCCGACGUGUAGCAGUGAAUGCGUAGAGAUGUGGAGGAACACCGAUGGCGAAGGCAGCCCCCUGGGCCAACACUGACGCUCAGGCACGAAAGCGUGGGAGCAAACAGG
rnacentral:rRNA from 1 species